GUUUUGGGAUAUAUACAGCUAAUUAACCGUAAAUAACUGCGAGAUAAUGAAUAACAAGUUGAUAAUUGUCUAUUCUCUGCUAAUUAAUGUACCUGCAAUUCACCCUGAUUCAUUUGUGAGACCACCGACACUAAUAAUAUUACCUCAAAGUUAGAGGUUCUCCGUUACUGGGAACUUCAUAUCGGAUCCGAUCAAUUUAUUGGUUCCAUUCCCCCUAGUAAUAAUGAUCCAUUUGCAGUGACGAUGACAAUCAAAGUUUAGGGCAAGAAAUAUAGAAGAUAAAGAAAAAUAUAAACAAUUACAACUGUACAGUAGAAAUGAUCGGCAAAACAAGAUAAACAUAGACAACAAGGCCUAAAUGGUGCAGAGACUUCUUGGUUUUCAUGAUCAUCAACAGAUCAAUACAGAAGAGGAAACUUAAGGUUAAUACUUUUCUACAUUGUGUGCUAAUUGGAUUAAUGUGAAAUGAAAUGUGUGCUUACCUGGAAAAAGAAAAUAGGAAAUUUCUACAAAAUGGCUGUAAACAAAAUGGAGUACAAUCAUAGAUGCACAAGAACACAAUUGUGUAAUUGCAACAACCUACACUGAAGGAUUAGGGAGAAAUGUAGAAAAAAUAGUAUCUUUUUGUCGAAAUAAACACCUGCUUUAUCCAUUCAUGUACAUAGCUCUGUCAUAUCAACUAUAUAGAGGAAGAUGUUUGAAGAACAAAUUGCAAAAAUGUAUUCUCUACCAAUUGAAGGAAGAUGUCUGGUGGAUGGAAUUAUUUAUGCACUGAGCUGUUUUGUAGGGGAUUGAAUAAUUGUACGCAGCAGAAAAGUUAAAUUAACAUGAAAAGUGGUUAUUUUAUUUAAUCCGCAAAUAUAAGCACAAUAUUAAUAACAUCACAAAUAGUAUGAUAUUCAUAGCGUUUUGCUUAUUAUUGUAUUGUCUCAAACAGCAAGCCUAUUGUUUUUGUAUGUCAUGUUACUCAUCAGUGAACAUUUUAUUAAAGUUUUAAUUAUC